rnacentral:rRNA from 1 species
AACGAACGCUGGCGGCAGGCUUAACACAUGCAAGUCGAACGAAGUCUUCGGACUUAGUGGCGCACGGGUGAGUAACACGUGGGAAUAUACCUCUUGGUGGGGAAUAACAUCGGGAAACUGAUGCUAAUACCGCAUACGCCUCGGGAAGAUUAUCGCCGAGAGAUUAGCCCGCCGUCCGAUUAGCUAGUUGGUGGAGGUAAUGGCUCACCAAGGCGACGAUCGGUAGCUGGUCUGAGAGGAUGAUCAGCCACACUGGGACUGAGACACGGCCCAGACUCCUACGGGAGGCAGCAGUGGGAAUAUUGGACAAUGGGGGAAACCCGUGAUCCAGCCAUGCCGCGUGAGUGAUGAAGGCCUUAGGUUGUAAGCUCUUCACCCACGACGAUGAUGACGGUAGUGGGAGAAGAAGCCCCGGCUAACUUCGUGCCAGCAGCCGCGGUAAU